ACAAUACCGCAAGGCUAAGAAGCGAGGGUGAGAAAUAAAUCGUAUAAAAGGAGAUAGAAAAGGCCAGAGACACCAGUAAACUGAUCAUCACGGACAAGGCAACAACUUCAGUGCACUACCUGUACCAAGGAUUUUUCUUCAUCGUAUUACUGGUUCGCAACAAUGGUUAACUAUGGCGACAUGCUGCUGUUGGACGUUCCAUCGUUAAUGGCUGGUUCGACUACACUGGUGUUUCCUGGGCUCCAGAGUACUACACCACCAAGGCUCCAAAGUACAAGUCGAAAACUUAAUCUGCCCCGAGUCACAUCACGCAAGCGCCUGAGUACUGCACUGAGUCUUCCAAGUUCUACAACACCAAAGUUCAAGCUACUACACCGAGUCUCCAGAUAUUCACCAUCAGAGCGAUCUUCACCGAAGUGUCCAAGUACUAGACUACAACCUACUGCAGCUCACUGUGUGUCACAACUGUCUUCUUUACCGUAUUAAAUCGGUUUCCAAUCAUGGAUAGCGCUGAUAUGUGAUAUAUUGUUUAAGGCUGGGUCGACCACGGGUGCACUGAUGUCUCCUGGAUAUGGCCGAUACCAAAUCACCACAAGCUGCCAUACUUCACAACAACGAGGUCCAAGUACUAAACCACUGUGGGAUGGAAUAUUACAAGACUGCUGCUACUUUCUACUACACCAAGGCCCCUAAUCCCCUACUGGUUGUCUACUGAAAUCACCUCCAUACUCAAGUUUGAAAAAAUAAGUUUUGAUUUUCGCAACAAUUUUAUUUAACUUUCUAAAAAUAAAACAUUCAUGGUUCGUAUGUGUGAUAAACUUUUAUAAUUAAAUAAAUUGUUUUCUACUGCCAAAUAGUGUAUUUUUUAAUAU